GAUGAACGCUAGCGGCAGGCCUAACACAUGCAAGUCGAACGGUAACAGGAAAAGCUUGCUUUUUUGCUGACGAGUGGCGCACGGGUGCGUAACGCGUAUACAAUCUACCUUUUACAGGGGGAUAGCCUUUAGAAAUGAAGAAUAAUACCCCAUAGUAAAUAAAGAUGGCAUCAUUUUUAUUUAAAGUUACGGCGGUAAAAGAUGAGUAUGCGUUCUAUUAGCUAGUAGGUGUGGUAACGGCACACCUAGGCGACGAUAGAUAGGGGCCCUGAGAGGGGGAUCCCCCACACUGGUACUGAGACACGGACCAGACUCCUACGGGAGCAGCAGUGAGGAUAUUGGACAAUGGGCGAGAGCCUGAUCCAGCCAUGCCGCGUGCAGGAAGACUG
rnacentral:rRNA from 1 species